GACGAACGCUGGCGGCGUGCUUAACACAUGCAAGUCGAGCGGUAAGGCCCUUUCGGGGGUACACGAGCGGCGAACGGGUGAAUAACACGUGGGUGACCUGCCCUCAGCUCUGGGAUAAGCCUGGGAAACCGGGUCUAAUACUGGAUAUGACUCCAUGACGCAUGUUGUGGGGUGGAAAGCCUUGUGCGGCUGAGGAUGGGCCCGCGGCCUAUCAGCUUGUUGGUGGGGUGANGGCCUACCAAGGCGACGACGGGUAGCCGGCCUGAGAGGGCGACCGGCCACACUGGGACUGAGACACGGCCCAGACUCCUACGGGAGGCAGCAGUGGGGAAUCUUGCGCAAUGGGCGAAAGCCUGACGCAGCGACGCCGCGUGAGGGAUGACGGCCU
rnacentral:rRNA from 1 species